CUACGGGAUGCACCAGUGGGGAAUAUUGCACAAUGGGCGCAAGCCUGAUGCAGCCAUGCCGCGUGUAUGAAGAAGGCCUUCGGGUUGUAAAGUACUUUCAGCGGGGAGGAAGGGAGUAAAGUUAAUACCUUUGCUCAUCGACGUUACCCGCAGAAGAAGCACCGGCUAACUCCGUGCCAGCAGCCGCGGUAAUACGGAGGGUGCAAGCGUUAAUCGGAAUUACUGGGCGUAAAGCGCACGCAGGCGGUUUGUUAAGUCAGAUGUGAAAUCCCCGGGCUCAACCUGGGAACUGCAUCUGAUACUGGCAAGCUGGAGUCUCGUAGAGGGGGGUAGAAUUCCAGGUGUAGCGGUGAAAUGCGUAGAGAUCUGGAGGAAUACCGGUGGCGAAGGCGGCCCCCUGGACGAAGACUGACGCUCAGGUGCGAAAGCGUGGGGAGCAAACAGGAUUAGAUACCCCGGUAGUC
rnacentral:rRNA from 1 species